rnacentral:rRNA from 1 species
GACGAACGCUGGCGGCGUGCUUAACACAUGCAAGUCGAACGGAAAGGCCCUGCUUUUGUGGGGUGCUCGAGUGGCGAACGGGUGAGUAACACGUGAGUAACCUGCCCUUGACUUUGGGAUAACUUCAGGAAACUGGGGCUAAUACCGGAUAGGAGCUCCUGCUGCAUGGUGGGGGUUGGAAAGUUUCGGCGGUUGGGGAUGGACUCGCGGCUUAUCAGCUUGUUGGUGGGGUAGUGGCUUACCAAGGCUUUGACGGGUAGCCGGCCUGAGAGGGUGACCGGCCACAUUGGGACUGAGAUAAGGCCCAGACUCCUACGGGAGGCAGCAGUGGGGAAUAUUGCACAAUGGGCGGAAGCCUGAUGCAGCAACGCCGCGUGCGGGAUGACGGCCUUCGGGUUGUAACCCGCUUUCGCCUGUGACGAAGCGUGAGUGACGGUAAUGGGUAAAGAAGCACCGGCUAACUACGUG